GAGAUAUUAGUAAAAAAAAUUACAUAACUUUGUCAAAGUUAAAUUAUAGACCAAAUCCUAUAUAUCUUA
rnacentral:tRNA from 1 species